UCCCAGGGACAGAGGAGCCUGGUAGGAGGCAGUCUGUGGGGUGGCACAGAGUCGGACACAACUGAAGUGACUUAGCAGCAGCAGCAGCAGCAACAGGAUCCCAGGUGAUGCUGGUACUGCUGAUCUGGGUCCUCACUUAGAGAUUUGGGCCUUUACCAGCAGGCUUCAUGCAGUGUGCUGCUGGCCAGUUGUCACAGCUGGAGCCACUUAAUUCAUACCUGUUGAUUCUGUGCCAUGCACAUUGGGAGGAAUACAGGCCUUUCAUUGAUUCAGUAGGGUGGUGUAACGUUACAGCAGAUUUGAUGUGGGUAGCAGAGCUGAGCCCUUGACAAGUUUUCCAGUUCCCUUAGGUCCCUCAUCCCUUCCUGGAUUCCUUGCUGGACAUGCUGUUUCCUCUGGGAGUAGGACACUUGGGUUUUCCCUCCUCGGAUCUUUCUGGAAGCUGAAGACGAACAGGUCAUUGCAGUACUAAUGGGGCAGUGAAGAAUUUUGGAGCCAAUACUCAGGAGAGAAAACAAACCCAGAAAGGAGACUAUAAAAAUUAAGGUCCACCCAAGGGCAUUUACCUAUGAUGGAAUAUGCUGCUGCUGCUGCU